AUUGAACGCUGGCGGCAGGCCUAACACAUGCAAGUCGAGCGAGCGGCGGACGGGUGAGUAAUGUCUGGGAAACAGCCUGAUGGAGGGGGAUAACUACUGGAAACGGUAGCUAAUACCGCAUACCAUCAGAUGUGCCCAGAUGGGAUUAGCUAGUAGGUGGGGUAACGGCCCACCUAGGCGACGAACCCUAGCUGGUCUGAGAGGAUGAACAGCCACACUGGAACUGAGACACGGUCCAGGCUCCUACGGGAGGCAGCAGUGGGGAAUAUUGCACAAGUGGCGCAAGCCUGAUGCAGCCAUGCCGCGUGUAUGAAGAAGGCCUGCGGGUUUUAAAGUACUUUCAGCGAGGAGGCGUUACCCGCAGAAGAAGCACCGGCUAACUCCGUGCCAGCAGCCGCGGUAAUAC
rnacentral:rRNA from 1 species